UUUCUGGUGGAAGGACUGUCAAGCGAUUUCCCUGAAUGUGUAAUUCUCGAAGCCGACUCAGUUCUCCAAUUUCCUUUGGCAAUUCUAUGAGAUCAUUGUCUCUCAAAACAAGCUGCAAUAAAACAAACACGAUGUAAAAUUUAUUUCGGAGUUGUUUGAUGUCUGGUGAUAAAUGUUCAAAAUCAUUGUCCGCCAAAUAAAGAGCUCGCAACGUAUCUGAGGGGAAGGAAAAUUACAACACUUGAGAAUUAUGAAUUUGAAGCAAAAAAGAUGUCUUUAGAAUUUUCAAAAAUUACAACAUACCCAUCAUAAAAAAGUUGCCAGAGGGACAUGAAUGAAAAAUUUAUUCAUUAUUUGUAAAAAGAAUGACUGCUGCGCGCAUGCUUACACACGCCUAUUAAAAAACGAGGAAAACGAGUGUGGAUCCACACAAACCAGUCUCGACAACUUACCAAAUUUGGCAAAGAGAAACGAGACGCGAAGGACAAAUAGGGUUUGGCCGGAAUGGAGAAAA